rnacentral:tRNA from 6 species
GCCAGCUUAGCUCAGAUGGUAGAGCAACUGAUUCGUAAUCAGUAGGUCGGGAGUUCAAUUCUCCCAGCUGGCUCCA